UACGGAGGGUGCAAGCGUUGUUCGGAAUUAUUGGGCGUAAAGCGCGCGCAGGCGGCCGGGUAAGUCCAGGGGUGAAAUGCCGGAGCUCAACUCCGUGCGUGCCCCGGAUACUGCCGGGCUGGAGACACGUAGAGGCAAGCGGAAUUUCGGGUGUAGCGGUGGAAUGCGUAGAGAUCCGAAAGAACACCGGAGGCGAAGGCGGCUUGCUGGGCGUGAUCUGACGCUGAGGCGCGAAAGCGUGGGGAGCGAACAGG
rnacentral:rRNA from 1 species